rnacentral:rRNA from 1 species
AUACGGAGGAUCCGAGCGUUAUCCGGAUUUAUUGGGUUUAAAGGGUGCGCAGGCGGCCAUUUAAGUCAGCGGUUAAAUCGUGGGGCUCAACCCCAUUCUGCCGUUGAUACUGGGUGGCUUGAUUGCGGUCGAGGUUGGCGGAAUUCGUUGUGUAGCGGUGAAAUGCAUAGAUAUGACGAAGAACACCGAUUGCGUAGGCAGCUGGCCAGGCCGGGAAUGACGCUCAUGCACGAAAGUGCGGGGAUCGAGCAGGAUUAGAUACCCUGGUAGUCCGCACAGUAAACGAUGAAUACUUGUUUUCGGCGAUAUAAUGUCGGAGGGAAAGCGAAAGCGAUAAGUAUUCCCCCUGGGGGGUACGCCGGCAACGGUGAAACUCAAAGGAAUGGGCGGGG